GGUGGCUCUGCCCGGUGUUCGAAAAGUGCAAAAACGACCGCAAUCACACAGGGGAGGGAUACCGAUGGCACGCUCCGGCGAAACCGGGAGAACUUCGGCGGCGCCGCCUCCCGGGCCGCCCCCGGGGUUCGGCGAGGGCGCCCCGCCGGACAACGCUCUGCACGCCCUGGGCUUCGAGUACACCCGCAUCACGGGGAGCGAGGUCCUCGGCCGCCUCGCCGUCACAGAGACCUGCUGCCAGCCGUUCAAGAUGCUCAACGGCGGCGUGUCGGCGCUGAUCGCGGAGUCGUCCGCGAGCAUCGGCGGGUACAUGGCGUCGGGGUACCGGAGAGUGGCCGGCGUGCAGCUCUCCAUCAACCACCUCAAGCCCGCCCGCCUCGGCGACCGCAUCGAGGCCAAGGCGAACCCCAUUCAGGUCGGCCGCAACGUCCAGGUUUGGGAGGUCCAGAUAUGGCUGUUGGACCCUUCCACAUCGGAGCGCAAAGAUUUGGUAUCAUCAGCAAGGGUUACCCUGUUAACCAACUUGUCAACACCAGAGCAAAUGAAGAGCUAUGAAGAGGGCAUCAAGAAAUAUGCAAAACUUUAGGGUCUGGAUAUGUUAAGCACAAUAUAUUGCAGCCCAGCAAGAAUUGAGUAUACAGAUUGAUUUAAAGCUACAUUUUAUGAGAUCCAUGGUAAAUCUAGUGAAGGAAGACCCAGUAUGUCUUGAGCAAGAAGAAUCACGGAGCCCAUCAAUCCAUCACAUGCAGCAUGUCUUAUGUUCUUGUUUGUCCCCUUGCAUAUUGCAAUAUAUAGGAUAACACGUACCUUGCAAAAUUCAAAAAAGGUUUCUCCGAGUAAAAACCAAGGUUUUACUCGGAGAAGCCUUUUUUGAAUUUUGGUCGGAGAAGAUAACACGUACCUUGGUUUUUACACGUACUAGGUUUUUGCCCCAUAGUCUUGUGUUCCUGAUGACAGGCGCAGACGAUGGGUUUUCUGGUAUUGCCCCGAAAUCGCUUCUCCCUCUUUCCCUUGUUCUUGUUCUGGCUCGGAGGAAAAAACUGUGUAUUUCCGUUAUGCUUUAUAAUGGAAAGGGGAAAGC